GCGUGCAAGGAGGAGUUUUGGGAGGCCACUCAAAGAUGUCAAAUCGGGGAUUCCAAACACUGUGCGCUGUGCUUCUGAGCGCUGCGUUGGCUUCCAUCGCCCCGGUACGCUGAAGGAAUAAGCGUGGCUUACAGUGGUAGUUCCGGAGGUCCGCGUACCCAGUCUUGGUACUGGCCGAGCUCCAGUCUGAACGGAAGCCCUUCAGAGCAACGUGGCAUUAGGACUCAUGGCAUCAUAGAAUGGCCUGGGUUGAAAAGGCCCACCACGAUCACCUAGUUCCAACCCCCUGCUAUGUGCAGGGUCGCCAACCGCCAGCCCAGGCUGCCCAGAGCCACAUCCAGCCGCAUCCCCUGAAUGCCUCCAGGGACGGGGCAUCCACAACCUCCUUGGGCACCCUGCUCCAGUGCGUCACCACCCUCGGGGUGAAAAACUUCUUCCUCCUCAUAUCUAACCUAAACCUCCCCUGCCUCAGUUGAAAACCAUUCCCCCUUGUCCUAUCGCUACCCACCCUCGUAAGCAGCCGUUCCCCGUCCUGUUUAUACGCUCCCUUCAAGUAUUGGAAGGCCACAGUGAGGUCCCCCCGGAGCCUUCUCUCCUGCGAGCUCAACAGGCCCAGUUCCCUCAACCUUUCUUCAUAGGAGAGGUGCUCCAGCCCUCUGCUCAUCCUAGUGGUCCUGCUCUGGACCCGUUCCACGAUCGCUUCUUGUGCUGGGGGCCCCAGGCCUGGGCGCAGUACUGCGGAUGGGGCCUCGCAAGAGCCGAGUAGAGGGGGACAAUCACCUCCCUCUCCCUGCUGGCCACCCCUUUCUUAGUGCAGCCCAGAGCACCGUUGGCCUUCCGGGCUGCAGGCGCGCACUGCUGGCUCACGUCCAGCUUCUCGUCCACCAGGACCCCCGGGUCCUUCUCCGCAGGGCUGCUCUCAAGGAGCUCUUCCCCCACUCUGAAGCGGGCAUUCUUUUCUUAUGGCGCUGACGCAUGGGGGAUCGCUCCGCCCAACUGCGCGCAAAAGAGCUUCAGCUGAUGCGUGUCUCUUGUGUCGUGCAUGUCAAGGUUUUCCCAGACGGCACGCACGUACUCAGUACUUUCCCUGACAUCACUAACGUAGGGUUCUGCGUCCUUGCACGUGCUCGGUCUUUCUGUGGUGGCGGUCCUAAUCGGUGCCUCCGACCUUCGAUGGUCUUCCACGAUCGCUCUCCUCCGCAUUGGUGAGCACCAGGUCUAGUAAUGCUUCGCCUCUGGCCGAUCUGUCCGAUACCCGGAGCAGGAUGUUAUCAUCAACAGGCUGCAGCAGUCUCCUGGAUUGCUUGCAGCUCACCUUGCUCUUUUCCCUGCAUAUAGCUGGGUGGUUGAAAUCCUCCUUCCGGAGGAGAGCUUGGAGCAUGACGGCCCUUGUAGCUGAAGCCAGGCGGCCUCAUCAACGGGCCGGGGUAGCGCUCUUCACCUCUGUCAGUACGGCGGUGGACGCACCGGCGAGGGCCGAGACCUGUGCCCCUUCGGGGGAAUCCCCGGGGGCGUCUGGUGCAUCCACUCGGGCAGAUAUGGCAAGAAAGCGAAAAUCUACCUGAUGGCGCUGGAAGGGCGGCACUGCCCGCGGCCGGCCUCCCUUUGCUAUUUGCUUCGUUUCUUCUUCGCUUCAGCACGCGGGGCAGACAUCAGGAAUGCAAAUGACUGAUAAAGCAAGCAUCAGCCGUUUCCAACGUUAGAAAUGUUGUUAGAAAGAAAGGCUUCAGGAAGCGGUGGCGCAUUCUCCCGUGGGCAGCGGUGAGGACAAAGGAGUGACAAGCAAGUAUACAUAAAGUCUGCGUUAAGCAAAGUUGCAGCAGGCUUGGAAGCCCCUGUGGCACAGGGGGAGCAGCCCAGGUUCGGAUGCUAACGCGGAAAAGAGGAGCGGCAGAGCUCACCUUGGCAAGGUCUUCGUCAAACCGACCUCGCUGGCUCCUUCCCCUCACAGAGUAGCAGGGGCUGGCCGAUGUGUAGACUGUGUUGGGCCCCAUCAGCCUGGGCAGCGUGUAGGUGCCAGGACCUGCAGGAGGAGCAGCAGAGAGCGUGUGCGCGAGGGGCUGGAGGAGACGGAAGCAGCAGGGAGGGGCAGCCUGCCCAGCCUGCUGGUGGGAGCAGGAGGGAGGUCUCGCCCCUCUGCCAGUUCCUCCCUCUACUCUGGCACUGGGCCAGCGCCAGCAGCUCCGAGCCUGAGCAGCCGCAGCCGCUGCGGGCCCAGAGGUGUUGGUCGUGCAAGAAAGCUUGCGGCCCCAGCGCCGCGUCCUGCCGCGCAGGCUGUGCAGUAGGCCCGCUGCUGGUGCUGAGCAGCAGCCCGUCCCUGCGGGAUGCUCAGGCUGAAGGGUCUGCCUUUGCCAGGGUCAGCGUACCUGGAGGGUGGUCUGUCCGGAGGGGCUCCCGCCGGAAGGCCAUGGACUGCACCGGUGGGCACUUGAAGACGUGCCUGUUGGCUGCCUCGGUGCGGUAGUCACCUGGGGCGGAAGAGAAGAGGAAGAAAGCCGUGAAGCGCCGGUCUUCUUCUUCUGCAACCGCACAGGCACUGUCCCGAGGAAAGGGUCUUCUCAAGAGCUGCAGAAUUGCCGCUGGGGGACACAGGCAGCACGCGGGGACGCUCUUCUGUGCCCCGCCGCUAUGCCCUGCCUUGCUGUCCCUCCCGUCAGCCCCCUGCCGCUUGUUCUUUUUGGACACGGGGUCCUUGUGCCCUCGGCCCGUGGCCCUGGGCAGCUGUCCUUCUCCGAGGGCGUUUAUCGCUGCUCAGAGCGGUUUGCGUUCUCUCAAAAAAGACCUACAGCUCCAUCAGGGCGCGAGCUGGCCCCGGGCAAACGCGCCGCCCGCUCGUCUUGUCUGGGUGAAGUGCUGCACAAGUGGUACUCACUUGGUCCGGGAGUGACGGUGGUCUUCGUCGCGGGUCGUCCCCGGAGCUGGGCGCCCGGAGCCACGUACUUCCCGUUCCUGGUGAUGGCGGGCUCCACAAAGUAGCAGGGACCUGGCCCGCAGCUCCCUGCCGCAGGCGGUUUGGUCCCUCUAAACGUGUAGGCGGGGGCACGGGCUUUGGUGGGGCUGUGGCCCACAUAACCUAGGAGGAAAAGCAGAAGAGAGCACACCCCUGUGCAGCUGCACGUCUCAAGCUCCGUUGGAACAGGCGCAGUUAGGCGCCGGGCCCUGGCCCCGACAUUCCCUUCCCGCGUGACUUCUUCCUCCAAGAGCCCUGGAGGCGAGCUGUGCCGGGCCUCGGAGCGCACAAGAGUCAGUCCCUGAGUGCAAACGGCUGCGCGAGUGCCUUGCAAAGUCACCGCAAAAAGACAGCGGAGUUUUGGCCAGCACGCUGCCUGUACCCGCACCACGCGUGCAGGCACUCCACAGCGAGAGCCCCCUAAGGGUCAAUUGUUCUGCAAGACCCCGUAACGCCUCUCUACAGCUGCAAAGCUGAGUCUGCGCUGGCCAGAAGCGGGCCCCUUUUUCCCCGGGCCACAAGGAGCAGCGCCAGCGGCACCGGCCUUCCUCGGCCAGGCCUGGCUCGCGGCUGCGCCAGGGAGCCAGGAGGCUCUGACAGAACGGGGAAAGGCUCGGGAGCUGCUCUGCCCCGCCAUGUCCCCGGUGCGCCUCACGCCCUGGGGAUGGUGGCUGUACCUGUUGUCCCCGGGAUGGAGUACUGGGGCCCGGGGCUGGGGAACUGGGCCGAGAUGAGGCCGCGUGGGCGAUGAGGUCUCCAGGUCCCCACCCAGGCUCCGUCCAUGCUGGCAGGCAUGUGCCUCCAAACCUAAAGGCAAGAACAGAGGAGUUACUGACGGGCUGCCCCAACAGAGGCCGCAGGUGAGCUUUGCUUCCCGCCCCCCGCGUCUCCUCUGCUCAGCCGCAAGCUGUCCGCCACGUGGCUUGCAGCUCCUGAGCCGGAAGGGCCGGCAGCAGUUUCUCCCGCUCACUGCCAGUCCUGCCAGUCUCGUGCUGCAUGCCCCUCGCGCACACCGGAGCUCAGCCCGCACCCUGCAGCUGGGCUCUGCAGCCUGACGUGUGCAGGAGCUCUCCCUCACCUCUCUGAGCCUUGGAGGACGAGCGCGAUGAGGCUGAGCUAGUCUGCUGCUGGGGCUGCUCUCAGGCACAGGGCACGGCGAGCGGCUGCGGGCAGCACAGCUCACAAAUGAGGCGCCUGGAGCCAGCGGCCAGCUGUCCUUGGGGAGGGCCCGGCGUCGUCAUGGCAAUGCAUUGUGACAGCACACGGGCUCCGGGUGAUGUCAUCUGUGCUGUGACAUCUCCUGGCUGGCCUGGAGCCACGCCCGCCACGCCUUUUCGGCCUCGCACCCCAACCAGUACAAAGCCGUAGCGCACGCUGCCGACACCUGCAGAUGGACUGAGCUCUCACUUCUAGCCACGUGCCGCCCGGGGCUCCUGAGGCUCGGUCAGCGUCACCUGCAAGGGAGAGAUUACGUUACUUCGAACCUACUGGAACAUUUCUGAGAAUGACACUCUGUUCUUUGGAGCUCUGUGUGUAUAUAUGUAUAUAUAAAAAUAAAUAUACGAGAGCCCUAAAAGCACA